AAGAAAAGAAAAAAAAAAGAUGGAUAAGAAACUGACUAAAGAGUUACAUUAAAAGAGGGUGUAGCAGAAAUGCUAAAUCAUGGUUUGAAACAGUGACUGAAGACCUGGUGGGAAUGCAGGGCCAACCCAGGGGAGCUCAGCUGCAUGCAAUGUACCUGAGUGACUAGAAGGGCUGGAGCCAGGAUCCACCCCUACCCAGACCUCAUUUAAGGGUUGGCAGUGUAGGGUGUCUUGGUGGAGAUUUCUACCUAGCUGAGGUCUUCUAAAGACAAGGUCACAGAGGCAAAGAACUGAACUACUUCAAUAUGGAAAUCUAGACAUGAAUGAAGGGGUAUGUGUGACACAGUGAGGUCUUCCAAGAGUUUCUUCUGAAUAAAAAAAUCAUAGCUUAUUGAGAUUGAGCUGAAUGGAAGGUUGUCAGGGAUACUUCACAUGCAUUGGUAUUCUACAAAGUCUCUUGCAGAUGCUUUAUCACGCUGCUAAAGAAUUCAAGUUCUUCAGCCUUCAUAAAACACACACUGUCUGUAAUUACCUUAAAGUUUUCCUUCCUGAUUUUGUUUCUUGACUUCUACUUAAAGGAAAAUGACUGAAAAGUUAAGUGACGAUAGUGUGUUUUAUCUCAUCAAAUGUGUGAAGAAUCUAUGGCAACUAGGCUCCUAACACACCUAUUAUAGUCAAGUGCAUACAAUUAGAUGGAUGUAAAUGGACUUGAUAUUUAUUCCUAAAGAUUGUUGUCUACACAAAUAUGGGUACUUAGUUUAGAAGCAACAAACACAAUGGUGUUAAAAACCUACUAGACAAUUCAGUGUGAUUUAUUGAUAACUGUGCUUGUAGCUGCUAUGAAGACUCUUGCCACUAGUAAGAGAAAAGAUUACUCUGUUCAUCACUGUAUUGUUCCUUGAAUUAUGAGUAAUAGUACUCUGAAAUUGGGCAGUUUAUUUCUCAUAGCCUGUGCAGUGAUAUCAAUGUAUCAGUUCUGUGAUGUGGCUUAUCUUUUUCAAUCCAGGAAGCUGGAGUUCAAAGGUCUUUCUUAAAGCUCAGAUUACGAAGUGUCAGUAUAAUCUACUGCUACUCAGCCUGUGCGUCUCCUUAUACUUCUUGGCAGAGAAAUAAAAUAGCAGAUUCAUAAGUCAGGUCAGAUCUACUCUGUAUCUCUUUUCUUGAAUCCUAUCCUGACAAGCUCAGAUAAAUUAUCUCUUGGUGUAGAAAUGGCCUGAAUCACAUAUAGAAAAUGAAUGUCUCUAAACCUGCCAGUCCUCCACAAAUCCUCAGGUUGCAUUUCCUUUGAACUGCCUUCUCAGCUAGUGAUGCUAACAGAGAAAACACAGAAUUAGUUUUUCUUUCUUCUUUGUAGCGUUGUCUCUGUGGAGUCCAGUGUUACAAGUCAUGGAACCUUUUAAGAAAGAGCUGGCAGUUGCAUGCUGUAUGUAACUUUCUAAAUCCAAACCCCACAUAAAUGGAAAACAGUUACUCCCACGCUUCUCAGUCCCUUUUGGUUACCAUCUGGAACAACAAUAAAAUAAAGCUAAUUCUUUUUAUCACCUUAGAUACAUAAAUCCAGCUGAAAAUGUUUGUUUUUUUUUUCCUAAUAAAUUGUGUGAUUAAAUUCAAGCUAAAAAGUUGCUGGU